rnacentral:rRNA from 1 species
GACGAACCGUACGAACGUUAUUCGGAAUUACUGGGCUUAAAGGGUGCGUAGGCGGCGCAGUAAGUUGGGUGUGAAAUCCCUCGCUUAACCGAGGAAUUGCGCCCAAAACCAUACUGUGCUCGAGGGAGAUAGAGGUGAGCGGAACUUAGGGUGGAGCGGUGAAAUGCGUUGAUAUCCUAAGGAACACCGGUGGCGAAAGCGGCUCACUGGAUCUCUUCUGACGCUGAGGCACGAAAGCUAGGGUAGCAAACGGG